rnacentral:misc_RNA from 1 species
UUCAAUUGCAUUAACAAACCCAAAUUCAUUCCUUCUUGUUGGCAAAAAAGUAAUAACAAGUUUAUUUGACUCAACCCAAAUAAAAUACUCCUUAACCAGAGGGGUCGCUACAUUCGCCACAGUAAAAUUGCUCAAAACGACAUACCCAUUAACCAGAACGUGAAAUUGAGCGUAGUUUAAGUCCAAAUUCGAAGAGACGAAAGGGUAAAAAUGAAGGCGUACCAU